ACUACGGGUGGCUGCAGUGAGGAAUAUUGGUCAAUGGGCGGAAGCCUGAACCAGCCAAGUAGCGUGCAGGAUGACGGCCCUACGGGUUGUAAACUGCUUUUAUACGGGAAUAACGCGCCUUACGUGUAGGGCUUUGCAUGUACCGUAUGGAUAAGGACCGGCUAAUUCCGUGCCAGCAGCCGCGGUAAUACGGAAGGUCCGGGCGUUAUCCGGAUUUAUUGGGUUUAAAGGGAGCGUAGGCCGCAUGUCAAGCGUGCUGUGAAAUGUCCGGGCUCAACCCGGGCCUUGCAGCGCGAACUGGCGUGCUUGAGUCCGCGGAAAGCAGGCGGAAUUCGUCGUGUAGCGGUGAAAUGCUUAGAUAUGACGAAGAACCCCGAUUGCGAAGGCAGCUUGCUGCAGCGGAACUGACGCUGAUGCUCGAAAGCGCGGGUAUCGAACAGGAUUAGAUACCCCUGUAGUC
rnacentral:rRNA from 1 species